rnacentral:misc_RNA from 1 species
UCAAACUUGGUCAUUUAGAGGAAGUAAAAGUCGUAACAAGGUUUCCGUAGGUGAACCUGCGGAAGGAUCAUUAUUGAAAAGUUUUGGGGAUUACUGUUGCUGGUCUCUAACGAGGCAUGUGCACGUAUAUCUCUAAUCUAUUCAUCCACCUGUGCACUUUUUGUAGGAGUUCUUUUGGAUUGGCUGUUAGUUGAUUUGAAAGGCUCUUAUGUUUUACAAACUAGUUAAGCAUGUUUUAGAAUGGUUGUUUUAUUGGGACUUUAUUGACCCUUUAAACUUUGUACAACUUUCAGCAACGGAUCUCUUGGCUCUCCCAUCGAUGAAGAACGCAGC